GUGAAGAGAACAAUAGUCAGACUGAAUGUUGAACAUCAGCUAGUUUCUCCUGCUGAUUUAAACCUUGUUGGACAGAUGGAACAUUGGCUGUGGAUUAUUCUAGCUGCUCUUUUCUUUGAGUGUAAAGGAGACUCAGUGACGCAGACAGAAGGACAUGUUGCUGCUGCUCAAGGAGAAUCUGUGACUCUUGGAUGUAUUUUUGAAACCAGUGCUUCAUAUCCAUAUCUUUUCUGGUACCAGCAAAAGGAAGGCAGUUCUCCAACCUAUAUGCUGAAGCGUUACCCAGGAACUGCAGAGAAUGAUCCAAAGUUCAGCACAGACCGAUUUAAUGCUGAUCUCAACACAAAGAAACAAAAGAAAUCAGUAAAUCUGACGAUCCAGGAUCUCCGUCUGUCAGACUCUGCUGUGUACUACUGUGCUCUGAGGCCCACAGUGACAGGAAACACCAGAACUCUGUACAAGAACCUGCAAUACUCCACAACAUCCACUAGAGGGCCUCACACACUGUUCCUCCUCUAUGGUUUGUUAGGAUUCAGUCUGAUUGUUUGUGCAGCUGAGAAUAAAGCAGACAUCAGAGUGUUUGCUGCAUCAUUGAACUCUUUAUGAUGAGAAGGUUUGGGUCAUAAAGGAGGGAUGAUGGAGGCUCCAGGAUGGAAGUGCAGCCUCUGCAGGAUAUCAGCACCAUGGACAGAGUGCUGUUCCACCAUCUAGAGGUGUUACUAAAAAACUUUGCCUUCAAGUCACUGAAAGUCUAUACAGUGACGCAUGUCAAGAGGCUAUAAUCUCAUGAUGCAUUCAGGUAGAUUAGAUGAUGCAUUUAAGUUCAUUUUAUUCACUAAAACAGUUUUACUGUCA